GAUGACUCUCGGCAACGGAUAUCUAGGCUCUCGCAUCGAUGAAAGAACGUAGCGAAAUGCGAUACUUUGGUGUGAAUUGCAGAAUCCCGUGAACCAUCGAGUCUUUGAACGCAAGUUGCGCCCGAGACCCAUCGGGUCGAGGGCACGCCUGCCUGGGCGUCACGC
rnacentral:rRNA from 1 species